rnacentral:rRNA from 1 species
AGGACGAACGCUGGCGGCGUGCUUAACACAUGCAAGUCGAGCGGAAAGGCCCUUCGGGGUACUCGAGCGGCGGACGGCUGAGUAACGCGUAGGAACGUACCCUAAAGUGAGGAAUAAUUCCGAGAAAUCGGGACUAAUGCCGCAUAUGCUCCAAGGAGUAAAGCUUCGGCGCUUUGGGAACGGCCUGCGUAUGAUUAGCUUGUUGGUGAGGUAAAGGCUCACCAAGGCGACGAUCAUUAAC